rnacentral:lncRNA from 1 species
ACAAACUGCCUAAAUGGAGACAUAUAGCCUUAACAUAUUUUUCUGCUCCUCCGCCAGAUUUCUAGGGAUGCUGUUGUACUCUAAAAAUUUUGCAGAGUUUUGAAUUUCUAAUUAGAUUCUUCUAGUUGUGCAACAGAAGUGCAGGGAUCCACCGAGCAGAAUAGUUUCAAACUCCUCAGAGUAGACCACCCCAUUUCUCAUUAACUGGGACUUACAGUUUCAAUAACUCACUCUGACAUAAUAGUAGUAGAAAGAAUAAAACACUUCAUUACUUAAAGUUGAACAGAUCAAACAGCAAACUGACAAACGUGAUAGGUUUCAACAACAGACUUCAACAGACUCUAGAAAGGGAAAAAAACACUGAGCAGACAUGCAGGGCUCGCUUUGAAUUCAGAGGUACGGAAAAAACUAUCAGUUACUGCUGGAUAGUCACCCCAUCCCAGAAAGAUCCGUCUUACAGUAUAGCUCUCUUUUCCUUUCUUCCUUCUCCUCAGCCCCUGUCACCAGAUAUCCCUCAACUAUUGGCUCCUCCCCUUUCUAGCCCUCAUCUCACUGUUCUUUCCCGCUCUUUUUCUCCUCUAUUCUCAAUUGGGCCACUGCUGGUAUCAGCGUAUAUGUGCUGUCUCGUAUCCCUCUGUUGUGGGCGCUGGAAGGAACGGCUCACACUCCUCUUUUCUGUUGGGAUGUGGUCCCUCCUCACAGUACACCAUCAUUUGCUGUGAAAAUGUGCAGACGUCUGAGUUUCUACAUCGCCAAAUUUGAUUUUGGGGGGUCCAAGAUCAGCAAAAAUAGUCGGGUGAAGGCUGUAUUCAGCCUGUGGGCUGUAUGUUGCCAACUGUACUCGAGGGUUGAGGAGAGGGACACCUACGGCUUGCAUGGACUGGCCAAGAUAAUUUUGUGUGUGUGUCCCCUGUGCUCCCCAUGCUUUCAGAAAAAUUGCCACCAAAAUGCCAUGGUAAGCCACUACAUACUUUUCGCAAAAACCCCACCUUUGUAUUUAUUGCUAGAAGAAAGCUUUGUUGAUAUCCUAAUUGCAACAAUUGCUGAUCAUUGCUGUUGAUCCUGAAAUACCAAGACUUUUUUUUAUUAUACAUUAUUACCAAGCUUUGUUAUUUAAGUGGGAAAUCAGUCCACCCAAGCAGGACUUUGAAGUCUCCUGUCGUCACAGCCAUUGUGACAGCCAUUAUGCAGUGUUGCCAGCCUGGACUAUACCCAACAAUCUAUGUGCAGUUCCAGCAUACGCCUGGCCUACAAAUGAAGAAAUCAACACAGUGGAAAUGUCAGAGCAGAGAAUCAAUGGACGCAUAUUUGUCUUCCUUAAAUAUUGCUUUUUCAUAUGAUUUGUUCUUUGAAAUUACAAAAAUUUGGCAUAUUAUAAUUAGUGUGUACUAUUAGUGUGGCAUCCAACCCAAUGAUAAACUUUCACCUCAUGUUAAUGACAUAUUAACACAGUCAAACAAAGUGUGUGUCUGUGUGUCUGUUGGCAAAAAGAUAGUCUGGAAAUAUUUCUACAGAGAGAAAAAAAACAAAGGUAAACGUUAAACCUACCGGCAUUAUCCUCUAAAGGGGGGGAUUCAUCUAAGUAUAUACACAAAACAAAAACAGCAACAGUAAUAAUACCAUCUUAACACAGAAUCAUUUAUUAGCUCUCUGUAAGUGGUAAUUUGCAUGGAAGGCCUUAAUACAUUAUUGAAGCCCUCUCUUUCAUCACCUAUCUGAGUGGAUAAAUGCACCACAAUAGAUUUCCUUUCCUCUCUGCCAAUGUUAAAGUGGCCAAAAGGCCAAUCUGCUGGAAAAAUCAUGCUUAACAUUUAAAUAGUGUUUCUGAAGGAUUCACAUAAAUGAUGGCAGAGCUCCUUACGGUCACUACCAACCACUAGCAUACACUCCCAUUGGAUUGCCUUAGAUUAACCUUGGCUGCUUCACCCAAAUAUUGGGAAUCAGCCUGGCUUUUUUCGGAAACUAUUUCAGAUGGACUUCUGAGUCCAGCUACUAAUGAACUGCAAACCUCUUCCUACCAACACACCUUCAAUGUCUAUCCAAACUCUUCCAUCCACUUC